UCUCAGAAGAUCUGAUGGUUUUAUCAGGGGUUUCUACUUUUGCUCCUUCCUAGUUUUUCUCUUGUCGCUGCCAUGUAAGAAAAGCCUUUCACCUCCUGCCAUGAUUAUGAGACUUCCCCGGCCAUGUGGAACUGUUAAGUCCAAUUUAACAUCUUUUUCUUCCUAGUCCCAGGUUGUUGUCAUUCAUGGCUGGAUCACACCAGCAAGAAGGACUUUAAAGGACAACUCCUUCGGGCCGUCCUACACUGAAAACGCCUGAGCGCUGCUGUCUUUGUGCUUGCAGAAAAUCACGGUACUGAACAUGCCAACCUCAUGGGUUAGUUGAGAGAAGUGUGUGGGUAUUCCCGGUCAAACACCCAGCCUAGGGCCAGCCGCUACCAGCACUCCACUCCGAUGACUGCAGGGAAGUGGUUCAUAUCCAUAAAACCAA